AUUGAACGCUGGCGGCAGGCCUAACACAUGCAAGUCGAACGAGUGGCGGACGGGUGAGUAAUAUCGGGGAAACUGCCUGAUGGAGGGGGCUAACUACUGGAAAGGGUAGCUAAUACCGCAUACCAUCGGAUGUGCCCAGAUGGGAUUAGCGUGUGGGUGGGGUAAAGGCUCACCAAGGCGACGAUCCCUAGCUGGUCUGAGAGGAUGACCAGCCACACGGGAAAUGAGACACGGUCCAUAAUCCGACGGGAGGCAGCAGUGGGGAAUAUUGCGCAAUGGGCGCAAGGCUGAUGCAGCCAUGCGGCGUGUAUGUAGAGCGCCUUCGGGUUGUAAAGUACUAUCAGCUGGGAGGCGUUACCCGCAGAAGAAGCACCGGCUAACUCCGUGCCAGCAGCCGCGGUAAUUC
rnacentral:rRNA from 1 species